AUUGCCCCAGUAACGGCGAGUGAAGCGGCAACAGCUCAAAUUUGAAAUCUGGUCCCUAGGGCCCGAGUUGUAAUUUGUAGAGGAUGCUUUUGGUGAGGUGCCGCCCGAGUUCCCUGGAACGGGACGCCACAGAGGGUGAGAGCCCCGUCUGGCUGGCCGCCGAGCCUCUGUAAAGCUCCUUCGACGAGUCGAGUAGUUUGGGAAUGCUGCUCAAAAUGGGAGGUAUAUGUCUUCUAAAGCUAAAUAUUGGCCAGAGACCGAUAGCGCACAAGUAGAGUGAUCGAAAGAUGAAAAGCACCUUGAAAAGAGGGUUAAAUAGUACGUGAAAUUGUUGAAAGGGAAGCGCUUGUGACCAGACUUGGGCGCGGCGGAUCAUCCGGGGUUCUCUCCGGUGCACUUCGCCGCGUCUAGGCCAGCAUCAGUUCGUCGCGGGGGAAAAAGGCUUCGGGAACGUGGCUCCUCCGGGAGUGUUAUAGCCCGUUGCAUAAUACCCUGCGGUGGACUGAGGACCGCGCAUCUGCAAGGAUGCUGGCGUAAUGGUCACCAGCGACCCGUCUUGAAACACGGACCAAGGAGUCGUCUUYGUAUGCGAGUGUUCGGGUGUCAAACCCCUACGCGUAAUGAAAGUGAACGCAGGUGAGAGCUUMGGCGCAUCAUCGACCGAUCCWGAUGUUCUCGGAWGGAUUUGRGUAAGAGCAUACGGGGCCGGA
rnacentral:rRNA from 1 species